CAUGCAGAGAGUCCAAUUCUCCAAACUAACACGAAAGUUCUCUUUCUCCUCCUUCCAUAACUGAGACAUGCAGAGAGAUUAUAUCAAUGCCAACACCAAACCCACAUACACACAGAUGCUUAUAGCCUCCUCCAUCGGAUUAAACAUGGCAGCGGUGGUGCAUUAUUGCCACAAGAAAAUACAAAAUCAACGGAUCAUACCCCGUAUAGAAGUUGCUAUUGUCCAGGUAAUGAGCAUUGAAAGGAUCUCUCACUAUGUAGGUAAUUGUAUGUAAUGAAAAUCUUUUGUAUAUGGUUAACAAGUCGCAUCUAGAACACAGAAAAUUGCAUCUUACACGCCUUACGUGGAUGUCUAGACAUGGACAUCAUUUAGAUCCUUAACAGUGUGUCUUGUGUUUGUGUAUGUACACGUGCAGCCAGACAAAUGGGGUUCGGUGAUAGAAGAGAAUGCCGAAAUCUCAGCAAGUAGGCUUCUGAUUACAUUUUACAAGCUGAAGGGUCUGAAGACGAAAUGUAUGCUUAUUUGGCGAACGAACCAGAUUGCAAUUCCCUAUUGAUCAAGCUGGUGGAGAGCAGGAGAGAUGUAGCCUCAGUUACUUUGCAUUUCACUGGAGACAUGCUUCGUAUAUGCUUAGUCAGGCAUGUCUUUAAGUUCUCAUCUACCUCUAUUUCGAUCCACACCAGAAAAUGCACUUCCUACGACAUAUUAACAUCCUUCCAACAUGUAACUCCAGGUGCUGGGUGCUGAAA